GUGGGAACUGAACAAAGGGGGUAGACGUGGUGGUAGUAAAGUAGGAUUCUCAUAACACACUGUUUUCUCAACUUCUCAGGAUCCUCAGGGUACUAUAGUGAGCCCUGGCAGAUUUAAUGGGAAUCAAGCCGGUUGGUCAGAGCGUCAAUGAUAAUGGGAACAGCUUUGAGACACCCAUCAUCUAUGACUCCUGAAUAUUUUCCAUCUGAUUUCAAUCUAUAAUCCUAAAUCUACCCUGAUGAUGAAGAAUUUCGCUUAGGAAUGCUGAGAUCCUAUGUCCUUUCCCUGGUGCAACGCAAAUAAACCUGAAUCUUAC